UGUGUGCAUGCACGUGGACGUGUGCACGCAUGUGCAAUGAGACUGCUUGCGUGUUUAAUGAGAUGUGCUCGUGCUGGAAGAGGAGAGCUCGUGCUUAUUGGUUUGCAUGUAUGCAUGAGCUGACACGCAUGGGCGUGCAUGCGAAUGUGCACGUCAUUCCCUUUUAGAAUGCACGUGAACGCGUGCGUGUGCGUGUGUGGUAAAACAGCCGGUUUCCAUUACGGGGCGGCACGGUUCCCCGGGCCCGACCGCAAACCUCCAGUCUCCAGUGUAGCUCCACCCAGCGCUGCCACAGACUUCCCAGAAAGGAGCAGCGUCUAAUUAAAAGAAAGUUUAAUUACAUUCAUCUCACACACAUACAGUGGAUAUGGAUAUUUAUACAGGCACAAACAACGGCAUACAACAUCACGUGCACGCAUCGUCUCCGGACUUCCUGUAGGAUCGUCACGUGCCACAGGUUGACUUCGCUCCUCUUUGCGCCCUGACGCUCGUCUUGCAGGCAACCGGUGACCCGUUGUGAAGCCUCGAUGAAGCGUCCUCUCAGGAAAAGAUCAUCUGGUUCCUCUUGGCCCUGCGGUCGCAACACUGAGAGCCACAUCAAAGCUUCCUGGAGACGACCAAGAAGAAGAAAAUCUGGGACAAAUUCUGAAAGCUUGAUAUCCUUGGAUUCCCAAAAUGGUCUAUUUUAAUUCCUUCCACACAAGGCCCGCCUCCGAGCACGCUCCAUCCCCUGUGAUUGGUCACGCUCCCGAGCGCUCCCAAGUACUUCUGGACUACUGCUGAACCCCACUUCCUCAUUUAGUGGCUACGGGAGUCCAUCAUUAAUAGCAACUCCAAGUCAAGUCUUUGGAGAGCUACUGGGAGCUACUGGGAGCUACUGGGAGCUACUAGGGGCUACUGGGAGCUACUGGGAGCUACUGCAUUGCUGCUAAUGCUAUCCAAUGCUAACUAGCAGCUCCUCAGCCAAAUGUUAUCUUGCAUGAAGUGAUGAAGCAGAUGAAAAGCAAGUGAAUAAAAAGUCGGAUAUGGACGGGUCCUUGCAUCCCUUCGUUCCCCGGAUGCACCCUGACUAAACCUGCUGUUGGCGUCCAUCAGGUGGAUGAUGGACUUCCCAUGGCUUCGACAUGCUUGUCCUCCUGCGUGCCGGGCGUGUUCUGCAGGACUCGCGUGCCUUUUCGGUGCCUUUUCGGCGCUGCAGCAACAGCAGCUAACAUGGAAGGACCGGCUGCCACGAAAACCACAAGAAUCCCGACUGUGUCGCCUGCAGUCACGGACCUUUUCCAGAUGGGAGCGUUGGAGAGAUGUGCUGAGUCAUGGAUUUCUGGGAGUGCUGCUACGUUGGUUCGUUUGCUUUUGGGAACAGAUGUUGCUGCUUCCGAGGGGGAGUGGCUAGUCAUGACCCGGGAACCCUCUGAUGACACAAACGUCCACAGGGAGCCCUAAGAAGAUCAGAAAACACAAAACACAAACCCUCAUCUCCUCCAGUCGUGAGCAGCAUGGAUUUAAUCAGGAAUAGAGAGCUGGUGUAGAAUGUUUGGGAGCAAUAACAGCCAGGGAAUACUAGGAAUACUAGUAGCGUGGCAGGGAUGACAUUCCUGCACAAAGACGGGGCGCCGAUGCCAUGGCAACGCAGGGGUCAACACACAAGAACAAGACUCCGGUCUCACUUCCCUGCUCCCAGCCACUCCCCUCAUGAGAGCCCCUUCCGGCCUCCUUACAAAUCCCAUCACCGUGUCUGUCCACUUCCUGCUCGCCCGCUUCCGAGGAAGGCCGGAGUCGGUGUGCUGGAGCAUGGAUCCUGGAUUAGAGGAGAAAAUGCAAAGAGGAUGGAGGUAGUCGGCUGCUUUGAUGCUCCAAAGAAUAUAAAUCAUACACAUGAAAGAGAGCAGCAUUCUA